CAAGGAUGACCAGCUACGUCUGAACCAUGAGUUGCCUUCAGCAAAAAGUGGAAAGUAUUUGAGCACUGACAAUUCUGUGAAACCUCCCCUGUAACGAGGCUCAUCCAGGCAGAACCAGUCCGUGUCCCCUUUGAGCAAAAGGGAAUUCCCUGGCUGUAUUCCCAACUGGAGCUGAAGCUAGGCUUGGAACAGGAACCUACCUCUCAUACCUGCUGUACUUGGUGCACCUGGGCACGUGAGUGAAGCAGCAAAAACUGAGAAUGUGAGUUGCUUUGUUAUGGGUUAGCCUAAACCACGCUGGGUUGAAGAUUGUGGAGUAUCGUGUACCACAUGUCAUAAAUCUAAAUUCUUGUACAUAGAACACUCUUUUUUUUUCUUUUUUUUUCUCCCCCUCCUUAGAGGGAAAUUACAGUCUGGGGGAGUUGAUGGCUUCUAGUUUGGAUCAGGUACAGCUGCUAAAUUGUUACAGACACAAACACGCACACACCCUUAGUAAGCCUGAAACAUUUCCUUGAUGUAAGUUUCUGUGGUCUGUUUUUUGAAAGUUCUAGUUUUGUUAGUUUACUACUGACCCGAAAUCUCAGCAUUUUCAUGGUGCCCUCUUACAGAGGCAAACGAGUCGCUGAGCCACUUCCUCUCACCUGGCAGCCCAGAGAGGAGCUGGAUCUGGCCUGGAGGUCCGUGAGGACUGACCCUGGAAAGGUCCCGUCAUCUCCUUCACUACAGAAGCAAACUCCAGAGUUGGCCCAGGUGUGUGAUGCCAAGACACUGGAAAUGUGAUGGGCGCAGUGUUACUUGCUGGAGGCUGAGCUUCUCUGGGGUGCACACCACUUGGAGACGUGGGGAUUGCCAAACAGAGGAAAGCUGGAGAUUUGCACUGUAAGAAAUAAUGAGAAAUGUUACUGAAUGGGCUGUUUGUGGUGUUUUAGACAGAUCAAACACAGUAUUUGUUGAAAUGAGCAUGAGGGACUCGCAACAAGUAUCCUUCUUUAGAUCCACCUACUGAGUAUCAGCUCCAGUAUUCUCUCUCCUUGCACAAGAAAGUAUAUGGUGAUCUGUGGAGAGGUGCAAUCAACAUAGCCCAGAAGUUCUGAGCUGGAGUUGUUUGCAGAAUGAUGAUAUUACCAAGAGAAAUGUAGUAUUUGCAUGUUUUAUCUCUCUCUUUUUUUUUUUUUAAUGAUCAAACACAAAAAUUUCCACACAACUUCUCGUAAGGAAAUCCAGCACU
rnacentral:lncRNA from 1 species